rnacentral:rRNA from 1 species
UACGUAGGGUGCAAGCGUUGUCCGGAAUUAUUGGGCGUAAAGCGCGCGCAGGCGGUCUUUUAAGUUUGUUGUGAAAGCCCACGGCUCAACCGUGGAGGGUCAUUGGAAACUGGGGGACUUGAGUACAGAAGAGAAGAGUGGAAUUCCACGUGUAGCGGUGAAAUGCGUAGAGAUGUGGAGGAACACCAGUGGCGAAGGCGACUCUUUGGUCUGUAACUGACGCUGAGGCGCGAAAGCGUGGGGAGCAAACAGG